CACUUAUUUCCAAGAUCUGUGUUUCAGAGUGCAAAGUAAAAGCAGAUUUGCCUUCUCCUUUCACCUCUGGAAAAUGAUGGGAUGGGCAGAAGUACUCCAGCUUCACAUGACUCCACCACUGGGGGACAGGGCAGAGGGGGAAUGAUGGGGUGAAGACUGGGGGGCUCUGCACAGGCAGAGAGACCCCACAAAGGCUGAGACCUGAGGGAACAGCUGGAGCUGUGUCAGGGCUUGGGCUGGAGCUCAGGGAAAGGUUCUUCCCCCCGAGGGUGCUGGGGCACUGCCCAGGCUCCCCAGGGAAUGGUCCCAGCCCCAAGGCUGCCACAGCUCCAGGAGCGUUUGGACAAUGCUCUCAGGGAUGCUCAGGGUGGGAUUGUUGGGGUGUCUGUGCAGGGACAGGGCUGGAUUUGAUCUCUGGGGGUCCCUCUCAGCUCAGGAUAUUCUGGGAUUGUGUAAAAGGUUGAGGAUCUCCCCAGAGCACCCUGGGGUGCAGGGCCUGGGCUUUACCUCUGGCUCUUGAACUCCUUCAUGAUCUCCAGGAAGCCGUUGUAGGUGGCGGGGUCGCUGCCGAAGCGAAUCUUCACCUGGUCCAGGCCACGCCCCGGGUUGUAGCAGGCCACGCCCCCAGCGCCGCUUCCGGCCGUUCGAGCGCCGCGGCGGGAGCGGCGCCUGAGGGAGCGGCGGCGCUGAGGGGAACAGAGCCCGCGGGGCCCGAGAUGGAGCAGCCCGGGGCUGCGGCAUCCCAGGGAGUCUGCAGGAGCCGGAGGCUGAGAACUGGAACUGCUGGGGCUGGAGGAACCGCGUCUGACCCUCUCCAGCAGCCUGGAGAGCACAGACCUCUGGCCCAGAGCUUACAGGAAAACCUCCUCAGGCUCAGAGCUGUGCAGUGGCCCAGCUCCUGCAGAACCUGCCCUGGCUCCUCACUGAUCUGUCCUUGGCAUUGAAAAGUCCCUAAAACCUGGUGAUUUGUGACAUCAAUGAACUGCUCACAAAGUUCUUUCAGCACCGUGAGCAGGCUGCAGGAAGGAGCAGGCAUUUGGCAGCUGAACACCUGGCAAGUGUUAAAAGGAACAACUGCACUGCUCAGGAGGCCAAGCAGGCACCCAGGGCCUCUUUGAGGAUUAAACCUCCUGCUAAAUUUAGCCUGGGCUGGCUGGAGUCAGUAUCAGAAGUUAUCAGAUCAGGACAUCUCUGGAGGGAAUGACGUCUGUCCCUCUGUCCCGUGGAAGUCUGAGCCCUGCCAGGCUCCUGUCCUGCCCUGGGCUGAGCAGAGCUGGGAGCUGGGAAAAUUCUGUGGAGCCAGAGACUCCAGAGACAUCGUGGGAUUCUUCAGAGGACGUGAAAAACCUGCUCUCAUCAGCCUGUUCACUUAAAGUCCUGAGCAAAAUAACCCUGAACUGGAUGUCACAGGGCAGGAGAGUGCUUAAAGCACCUGAAACAUUGUGAGCCAUUAUUUCCUGAGUUGUUUAUUCAGUGUGAGUAAGACUUGCACUGACCUUUUCCAUUGGAAAAGGAUCACACCAAUGGAAAUUCCCUUCUCCAGUGCAAUUUACACUCUCAUCUGCUCUAAAUUUAGAAGUGCUUAUUAACAUUUUAAAAGAGUUAAAUCUGUAGGGGAGAUGAGAGGAACCCUUCAGAAUAUAAACAGGUUUUGCAGAUUCUUCUUUGGGUCGAUUGGCUGUGUCAUUCUUUCCUCACCACUUCCACCUAUGAGCUGUGGAAACAAAUUACUCCUUUAGGAAACACCCCACUCUUAUUUUCUUUGUUUUAGCAGAUCCUGAAGGAAGGAAGGGUCUGGAUAGGGCAGGUGGGGCUUCCCAGAGGUGCUGGAGCAGCCCUGUGUCCCCACAGCCGUGGUUAAAAAGUGCUUUUCAAAGGCCCUUUUUGCUGCUUGGGAUGAAGGACAGCAGGCUGGAAUGGGAGCAGAGUGCCAGUGCUGAGCCAGGGAAAUUCAAGACAAAUUCCAUCUCUCUCCCUGGGAAAGGCUUCACUGAGUGGAACUUGUGACUCCUCUGUGGCUGUUGUCUUCUCAAAACUGACCCCACUCCUCUGGGGUACUCUAAAGGUGUUCAGAGCUUGGGUUUUAACCUCCUUUGGAUUAUUUCUUCGCUCUGUGUUUGAUUAGAAGCUGUGAUUUGACUCAGUUUGAUUUGAUUCAGGGUCCAAAGACUCUGAAGAGCAAAGAUUCUGCACUCAGAGAGCAGAGCAGCAGCUAUGGGACCACACUAAAUAUUCACUGCAGAGAAUUUUGAUUUCUUUCCAGUUUUAAAUACUGAUACUCCACAUAAAUAUUCUGGAACUCUGUACGUGUGUGUAGAUUUACCAGCCCCUGGUAAAUGCCCUCCUCCGUCUUACAGUGACAAAAGGAAAAACAGACACAACUGCUAUAAACACCAAAAGAAUUCAUUUCCUUAUUUUCUUCCCUGAAAUCUGAGGAUGUCUACUCUGAGAACACCACCACAAACACCUUUCACCCUGUUAUUUCCAUUUAUAAAAUGUUCAGACACUGCUGUAGCACACAAAAUCUGAUUUCCUUCUUCAAUCAGAAUCAUUCUGUCCCCAGGUCCUGGUGACACAGAGUUCCUUUGUGCCUGGGACUGGGAAGGGUAAAACAAACACAGAGAUUUCCUCAGGUGCCACUGGACAAUCAGAGUCACUUCACAAUUUUUAUUUGUUGACGGCUUUUAUAAAACAAAAUUCCCCUUGGAUCAGACAUCUCAUAAAACAUUUAUUCAGUCUCGUGCAUGCCCGUGACACAUCAGGUUCCAGCAGAGCAGGAGCAGGCAGUGGAGCUGCCAGGCAGAAUUGCUGCUCUCUGCUGAAGGGGAGGAAAACUCACAAAAUUAAGGCACUGUCAAACCCCACACCCACAGAUUACCUGACCUUUCCUCCUGGCUUUCCUCUGCCUGCACACAAGGAUGGUUUCUUAUCUUUAAUUAACCGUCAGUUGCAAUUUUGAACGGGGACACACACACACACAAAC